rnacentral:rRNA from 1 species
UGAGGAAUAUUGGUCAAUGGAGGCAACUAGGAACCAGCCAUGCCGCGUGAAGGAUGACGGCCCUAUGGGUUGUAAACUUCUUUUAUAUGGGAAGAUUUCUUUUGUACGUGUAGAUAACUGACGGUACCAUACGAAUAUGCCCCUUUCUAACUCCGUG